rnacentral:lncRNA from 1 species
CCCUUUGGACUUUUCCUCUAGGUUCUGCGCUAACCUGUUCUGCGAGCUCACUCUGCCCACCCCCACUCCCCCUCCUCCCCUUCACUCUCUCGAGGUUACCCAUUCACUUAAAACAUUGCUUCUGGU